GUGCUAGCAGCCGCGGUAAUACGGAGGGUGCAAGCGUUAAUCGGAAUUACUGGGCGUAAAGCGCACGCAGGCGGUUGAUUAAGUUAGAUGUGAAAUCCCCGGGCUUAACCUGGGAAUGGCAUCUAAGACUGGUCAGCUAGAGUCUUGUAGAGGGGGGUAGAAUUCCAUGUGUAGCGGUGAAAUGCGUAGAGAUGUGGAGGAAUACCGGUGGCGAAGGCGGCCCCCUGGACAAAGACUGACGCUCAGGUGCGAAAGCGUGGGGAGCAAACAGGAUUAUAUACCCUGGUAGUCCACGCUGUAAACGAUGUCGAUUUGGAGGUGGUGCCCUUGAGGCGUGGCUUCCGGAGCUAACGCGUUAAAUCGACCGCCUGGGGAGUACGGCCGCAAGGUUAAAACUCAAAGAAAUUGACGG
rnacentral:rRNA from 1 species